UACGAAGGGGGCUAGCGUUGCUCGGAAUCACUGGGCGUAAAGCGCACGUAGGCGGCUUUUUAAGUCAGGGGUGAAAUCCUGGAGCUCAACUCCAGAACUGCCUUUGAUACUGGGAAGCUUGAGUCCGGAAGAGGUGAGUGGAACUCCGAGUGUAGAGGUGAAAUUCGUAGAUAUUCGGAAGAACACCAGUGGCGAAGGCGGCUCACUGGUCCGAUACUGACGCUGAGGUGCGAAAGCGUGGGGAGCAAACAGG
rnacentral:rRNA from 1 species